rnacentral:rRNA from 1 species
GACGAACGCUGGCGGCGUGCUUAACACAUGCAAGUCGAGCGAUGAAACUCCUUCGGGAGUGGAUUAGCGGCGGACGGGUGAGUAACACGUGGGUAACCUGCCUCAUAGAGGGGAAUAGCCUUCCGAAAGGAAGAUUAAUACCGCAUAAGAUUGUAGUACCGCAUGGUACAGCAAUUAAAGGAGUAAUCCGCUAUGAGAUGGACCCGCGUCGCAUUAGCUAGUUGGUGAGGUAACGGCUCACCAAGGCGACGAUGCGUAGCCGACCUGAGAGGGUGAUCGGCCACAUUGGGACUGAGACACGGCCCAGACUCCUACGGGAGGCAGCAGUGGGGAAUAUUGCACAAUGGGGGAAACCCUGAUGCAGCAACGCCGCGUGAGUGAUGACGGUCUUCGGAUUGUAAAACUCUGUCUUCAGGGACGAUAAUGACGGUACCUGAGGAGGAAGCCACGGCUAACUACGUGCCAGCCGCCGCAGUAA